GGUAGAAGGGUUUUUUAGACUGUGAGACUAAGGAAAGGUAGUGGGGUACUAGGCAGACCAGGCUUAAGCAGAGAGUUAAUGACAGAGAAGAGCCGCCCUACAAAGAUGAGGCGAUGGCUUGCCCCGUGUGGAUCCCUACGGCAGAGCAGGAACUUGGCAGGAGCUCAUGGUGACAAAGACACAUUAUCUUAUCACCCCCCAGAGACGGCCUCCAGCCCUGAGCUUAAUGGGGUUGGCAAGGAAGAAUCAGGGAACUGAAGAGUGUGUAGCUUUGCUGGACUGUGACUGCACCUACUGGAAGAUGGGCAAGUAACCCCAGAGCUCUCUACCACCCUUUAGCUCCAAUAAGGAUUACAUUUCUCCAGAUGCAUGGGUAUUUUUAAGCCAAAAAUGAGAACAGGAACACAUCCACUAUGGAAAGAGAUAAGCUUUGGACUGCUUAGACAGCAGAAGAUCCAAAGAAACUAAAUUCCAGGACAAAAUAUCACCCUGAGGAGUUCGGGGAGGUGGGAGGGGGGGAGGGCGGGGUGUGGAAUUCUUAAUCUCUGUGAGAUGACAGACUGCAAUUGAUUACCUCAGCAAAUGGAAUUACCUGGGACUUGGUCUCAAAAAUCAAGAGACGCACUUGUUUUAGGCUUCAUAAUUUUUUUUUAAUCACCUAUUACAGGUAUCAGUUUGCCAACCAAGUUCCGUAUAAUCGCAGCUAUGUUUUUUCCAGUAGUCAUGUACAGAUGUGAGCUGAACCUCAAAGAAGGCUGAGCACUGAAGAAUUGAUGGUUUCAAAUUGUGGUGCUGGAAAAGACUCUUGAGAGUCCCUUGGGCAGCAAGGAGAUCAAACCAGUUAAUCCUAAAGGAAAUCAAUCCUAAAUAUCCAUUGGAAGGACUCGUGCUGAAGCUGAAGCUCCAAUACUGUGGCCACCUGAUGUGAAGAGCUGACUCAUUGGGAAAGACCCUGAUGCUGGGAAAGACUGAAGGCAGGAAGAGCAGGGGCAACAGAGGAUGAGAUGGUUGGAUGGCAUCACUGACUCAAUGGACAUGACUUUGAGCAAACUCCGGGAAAUAGUGAAGGACAGGGAAGCCUGGCAUGCUGCAGUCCAUGGAGUCACAAAGAGUCUGUCACGACUUAGCAACUGAACAACAGCAACAACAACUUUGUCAACUGAAGAUUUGGCACAAUAUGUGAUUUUGAAAAGAAUGUAUCCAAAAUAAAGGCAGCGUUUCUAUAGAGAUGCAGCCUGAUGUAGCAGAAAGAGCAUGGAUUUGGGGGCCAAAACUGUGGGAUGAAAUCUGAAAUCUUCAUCUUGCCUCCUUUGAUAUCUUACGUUAAGUUACUUACUGUCUCUGAUUCCCCGCCCCUCCCCCCUUUUUUUCAUCUGGGGAUAUGAAAACCUACAUACUAUUUUGUGGUGAGGAUUAAAUGAGAUACUGCUAUGAAUGUGCUGGGCUCAGAAUAGACAUGUUAAAUGACAGCUCCUAACAUCAUAUUGUAGGGUUUGGGGAUAUAAUCUGAAUCCUGAAAUUCUCAAAUGUCCUCAAGGGACUUCAUUUUUUCCUUCUUAGAUAUAGAAUUGGGAGGUGGGGACAAGGAUGAAGUAAUUGGAGAAUUAUUUUAAAAUAAAAAGAGAGCACCAAAGUUUAUUUAUUUUUUAAAUAUAAAUUUAUUUUAAUUGGAGGCUAAUUACUUUACAAUAUUGUAUUGGUUUUGCCAUACAUCAACAUGAAUCCGCCACAGGUAUACACGUGUUCCCCAUCCUGAAGCCCCCUCCCUCCUCCCUCCCCAUACCAUCCCUCAGGGUCAUCC
ensembl:lincRNA